ensembl:lncRNA
UAUUGUAUUGCUGUUAAAAGAAUAUCUUAGUAAAUGAAGCCUUCUCUGAUCUGUGAUUUCAUUUCAUUGCCUCGGCAUACAUUGUAGUCUCAACAGUACUCAAAAGCCCUUCACUGUACUGAAGCCAGCCUGAAUCCUGUAACUCCUGGAACUCAGUGGAUGAAUUUGAUCUCUAAAAUCUCCAAGACACCUAAGCAAACCUCAUUUGCAGGAUGGAUCAGGUUUUCCCAUGGCAGUCAAUGUCAGCGGCACCAAAGGCCCUCUGAGGGCUUUUCAAAGAAAGAGAUUGUGUCCGAAAACAGGAGUCCAAGUAGCAAGCUAAGGAAAAGCCACUGCAACAGGUAAUUGAGAAAAGAUGGAAAAUCCUUUGUCUGAAGAGGAAAUUAUUUGUCCUGAGUUU